CAAUAGCGUAUAUUUAAGUUGCUGCAGUUAAAAAGCUCGUAGUUGGAUUUCGGGUGGGAAUGGCCGGUCCGCCGUUUCGGUGUGCACUUGCUACGCCCACCUUGCUGCCGGGGACGUGCUCUUGAGUUCACGCUCGGGACACGGAGUCGGCGAGGUUACUUUGAGUAAAUUAGAGUGUUCAAAGCAGGCGUACGCUCUGAAUACAUUAGCAUGGAAUAACACGAUAGGACUCUGGCCUAUCUUGUUGGUCUGUAGGACCGGAGUAAUGAUUAAGAGGGACAGUCGGGGGCAUUCGUAUUUCAUUGUCAGAGGUGAAAUUCUUGGAUUUAUGAAAGACGAACUACUGCGAAAGCAUUUGCCAAGGAUGUUUUCAUUAA
rnacentral:rRNA from 1 species